GAUGAACGCUGGCGGCGUGCCUAAUACAUGCAAGUCGAGCGAACAGAUGAGGAGCUUGCUCCUCUGACGUUAGCGGCGGACGGGUGAGUAACACGUGGAUAACCUACCUAUAAGACUGGGAUAACUUCGGGAAACCGGAGCUAGUACCGGAUAAUAUAUUGAACCGCAUGGUUCAAUAGUGAAAGACGGUUUUGCUGUCACUUAUAGAUGGAUCCGCGCCGCAUUAGCUAGUUGGUAAGGUAACGGCUUACCAAGGCAACGAUGCGUAGCCGACCUGAGAGGGUGAUCGGCCACACUGGAACUGAGACACGGUCCAGACUCCUACGGGAGGCAGCAGUAGGGAAUCUUCCGCAAAGGGCGAAAGCCUGACGGAGCAACGCCGCGUGAGUGAUGAAGGUCUUCGGAUCGUAAAACUCUGUUAUUAGGGAAGAACAAAUGUGUAAGUAACUAUGCACGUCUUGACUGUACCUAAUCAGAAAGCCACGGCUAACUACGUG
rnacentral:rRNA from 1 species